CGCACCAGUCUCUAUCAAUUAUGAACGGCCGGUGUUGUGUAAUAUUCAGUUCCUGUGGAAAAACUGUUCUCACUAGUUGGUUGUCAUAAUAUUUCACUAUAUACUUGAGAACAUUUGGCCCUCACAAACAAUUACAGUCAAAACUACACACACAGGGAGAGAAGGAGAAAAAUAAAAGAAAUUCAUUGGCCGAAGGUUACCGUCUUGUCAUCAUGUGCCUUGGUGAUGUCUUCUGAUUGGCCUGCUGCCAAGUUUAAGACCACUGAUCACUCAGCAACAAGUCAGGCUAUUUUCUGAGUUGCAGGUACUCAGGAUGAGACGGGUCACUGAUGGAGAGGUCCUCAUCGGGGACUCGUCUCUCAGGUGUGGACAGAAGGUUUUUGAGGUGUCCCUCUGGCGUGACAAGGCCCUGGUUGAGCUCAGCUUGGGAGAUCAAUUUAAGAUUUCCUUUCUCAAUGUGAUUCAGACCUUCUGCCAAAUUCAACUUAUCCAGCUUUUCAGCUGUGGAGAGGACUGAAGCUCAACCAGUCGAGGUCACCAUUGUAGGUGUUUCAGAGGAAGAUGGAGGUGCCAUGGUACUGCUGUCUGACACCUACGAAGAGUACAGUGUCCCUGCAGCUCUAGCCAUGGACAUCAGAAAUCUCCAUCACACUGAAAUUAACAAACUCCAGUUACCAGAGUAUUAAGCAGUUGGAGGUUAUGGAGGAAAUUUUUUUUAUUAAAUCGACUGUUUUUGUGUGGUUUUUUACUUGUUCCAUUUUUUUAAUUAAUUGAAGAAUGUUCAUGAUCAUUUUACAUUUAAAUACAAUUUGUGUUAUUUUAAUAAUUUUUGCUUUGUUUUUUUCCUCAUGCAUUUUAUAAAAUUAAAUUAAAUCAAGUCUGAUGUGUUUUAUCACCUCCCUACCAUAAACACAAACGCUUAAUUCUUGCUACCCAAGUAUGAUAAUGUAGCACGUCCGCCGUCAGACUGGCGGUGCCGCAGUAAGUUUUCUGUUUAAACAAACAGAGACACAGUUGUGUCACACUUGUAAUCCUUUAUUUCAAUAAUUCAAAGAUUAUAUAAUUCACAGUGUCUUAUGUCACCUUACAAUGUGACUCAAAUCAUAUGCAUGUGUUGCAUAACUCUUGUAAGAGUUUUCUUAUACUCAAUCUCAUAUAACUCAAUACCUUUCACCUUAUAUCACAAUAUAUUAGUCUCUCGUGUGUGCAAAUGUGUCAUAUCAACCACUGUAUAACUGAAUAGUUGAGCGAAUCAUUGGUUAUAUAUAUAUAUAUAUAUAUAUAUAUAUAUAAACACAAUAUAAACAUUUAAACUGAAUUACUGUAUACAGCGAAUUUACUUCAUCAGAAGAAAGAUCAUUGAAACAUAAUAUUAAAACAACAGAUUAUAAUAUUCAAAGAUAUAUAUAUAUAUGUACACAAACUUUAAUCCUCCCCAGUCUUAGUACACGAUGUAACUACAGAAGAGUCAAGUUUUAAAUAGGAAAAACAUCGAAACUCUUUGGUCAUUUUUGAGCGAGAUGCUAACGGUCUAAUCAGAUUCAAUGAACUAUGCUAAGCUAUGCUAAAAGUGGUACCGCCAGACCCGGAGAUCGGCUGAAUGGAUUCAAAAACAGUAAAACUCAAAUGUUUAACUCUAGAGGAGUUGGAAAAUUAGCCUAUUUUCAAAAAAAGUGGAGUGUUCCUGUAAGUGUCAUUUGUGCCAAAGAGUACAGAAGCCAAGAGGAGAAACUGAGUAUCAUGGCCAUCAUUUUGGGGUGAAAAUGCCAACUGGACAACAGAAUCCAUCUCAUCUUAAACCAUGUCCUAACCAAACGCGAUAAGAUUCCAGCGAACUUUCGGAAAAAAACAAAACUGCCACCGCGUUCGUUCCGUAAGUUGAAUAGUAAAGGCGUAGGACAUUCAGCGUAAGUGUUUUGAAGAAUGCGGAAACCAGAACUCCGUUUAAGGCAAUAUUUUGAAAUCACACGGAAUAAACACCUGUAAUAAAUAAAUAGGCAACUGUCUCGAGUCUUUACCUUGAAAAUAAAACAAUACUAUUUAGCCAAGCUAGUAGACUAUUAUUUUAUUUUUUUAGCCAUUUAGUCAACCAAAAUGUUUCAAGUCUUUUUAAAGCUAUAAUAAUCAUAUUCACCCAACACUGAUUUAUCAGAUUUUUUGAAAUAAAGAGUUUUGAAAUUUGUUGUUUUUCUUUCAUGGCUUUAUCUGUUGGUUAUCAUUGGUUUUGUGAAUCACUCAUGAAAAUGACAAACACUUGACCAGUCUGCUGUUUCUUAAGCAUCAAGAACAGUAAAACAAAGACUGUCACCCAACACCGGUUAAGAGCAAAUAUUUACAAUGUUGUUAUCAUUAUUAAUUAAAAAUAAACAGAAAAUGAAUAACAAAAAUCGUUUUGGAUCAAUAAAUGUACAUUUCAAACGAAAUAGGUUAGCUUGGCUAUCCUGAGGCAGGUCUCGAAAUCGAAUCGCUUAAAGCACAGUUGCGCCAUGUGUCGUAACAUUAUACACUGGCCUAUUUUCACUGCUGUUAAAUCACAGAUGCAAAGCCUACUCAUUCAUGCAGCCUAUUAGGGAAAACUCACAAAUGUGUUUUUUGUGUAGCCUAUAUAUAUUUCUGUUUUUUAAUUUUAUUACAAGAAGAAAAUAGAAUAAUAGGCCUUUUAAGAAAUAUUUUUAAAGAGAAAUAUGGGUAUUAGCGCAGUCCAUGAAAGUAAACACAAUUUUGACAUUUACUGUAGGUCUACUGUUUGAAUUCAUUCUAAACAGCAAAUGCUUACAUUUACACAUGUGGUGUGCAUGUGAUUUUUAAAAAUCUUAUAGUAUUUUUUUUUAUCUCGACAUGGCGUGGUUGACUGCUACUCGCAAAAUCGAGCUGUGAUACACACACUCCAUAACAUGUGAAGGCUGUGGUUAUAGCACCACUUAACGGUCAAGAGCAGAAAUUAAUUUCCCGCUGCAAACCACGACAGUACCCACGUCAACAAAAAAACGCAUUCUGGUUGAGUACCAUCUGUACCUUAGCCUUAAGAUGUUUUGUGAAUACGGCCUCAGGACAGCCAUCAUGAACCGCUGAACAAAGACACUGUUAGCAGAUCUCGCCACCCACUGACCCAUUGACAUAGUAUUUUUCUUCCUACUAUGGUAGUCAAUGGGGGGCGAGAUCUGCCUGGUUACAAACAUUCUUCCAAAUAUCUCCCUUUGUGUUCAGCAGAACAAAGACAUUUAUACAGAGUUGGAACAACAUGAGAGUAAGUAAAUGAUGACUGAAUUUAAAUUUUCGGGUGAACUAUCCCUUUAAUCUGGACUGACUUUAGAGUUUAGUUUACAGUUUUCUUUCUUCCAUAAUAUAUUUCACUGAUCAAGAGU